AGUGAACGCUGGCGGUAGGCCUAACACAUGCAAGUCGAACGGCAGCACAGGAGAGCUUGCUCUCUGGGUGGCGAGUGGCGGACGGGUGAGGAAUACAUCGGAAUCUACUCUGUCGUGGGGGAUAACGUAGGGAAACUUACGCUAAUACCGCAUACGACCUACGGGUGAAAGCAGGGGACCUUCGGGCCUUGCGCGAUUGAAUGAGCCGAUGUCGGUUUCGCUCGUUGGCGGGGUAAAGGCCCACCAAGGCGACGAUCCGUAGCCGGUCUGAGAGGAUGAUCAGCCCCAAGGGAACUGAGACACGGUCCAGACUCCUACGGGGGGCAGCAGUGGGGAAUAUUGGACAAUGGGCGCAAGCCUGAUCCAGCCAUACCGCGUGGGUGAAGAAGGCCUUCGGGUUGUAAAGCCCUUUUGUUGGGAAAGAAAUCCAGCUGGCUAAUACCCGGUUGGGAUGACGGUACCCAAAGAAUAAGCACCGGCUAACUUCGUGCCAGCAGCCGCCGCAG
rnacentral:rRNA from 1 species